UCAAAGGAAUUGACGGGGAGCACCACAAUGGGUGGAGCUUGCGGUUUAAUUGGAUUCAACGCCGGAAAUCUUACCGGGACCGACAGCAAUAUGAAGGCCAGGCUGAAGACUUUGCCGGAUUAGCUGAGAGGUGGUGCAUGGCCGUCGUCAGUUCGUACUGUGAAGCAUCCUGUUAAGUCAGGCAACGAGCGAGACCCACGCCCACAGUUGCCAGCGUACUCUCUGGAGUGACGGGUACACUGUGGGACCGCCGCUGCUAAAGCGGAGGAAGGAAUGGGCAACGGUAGGUCAGUAUGCCCCGAAUAUCCCGGGCUACACGCGAGCUACAAUGGUUGGUACAAUGGGUAUCUACCCCGAAAGGGGACGGGAAUCUCCUAAAACCAAUCUUAGUUCGGAUUGAGGGCUGCAACUCGCCCUCAUGAAGCUGGAAUCCGUAGUAAUCGCGUUUCAACAGAACGCGGUGAAUACGUCCCUGCUCCUU
rnacentral:rRNA from 1 species